UUAGAGUGUUCAAAGCAGGCGUUCUCGCCUGAAUAUUGGCGCAUGGAAUAAUGGAAUAGGACCUCGGUUCUAUUUUGUUGGUUUUCGGAAGUCGAGGUAAUGAUUAGUAGGGACGAUCCGGGGGCAUUCGUAUUGCGCGGUUAGAGGUGAAAUUCUUGGAUCCGCGCAAGACGAACUACAGCGAAGGCGUCUGCCAAGUGCGUCUUCAUUAAUCAAGAGCGACAGUCAGAGGUUCGAAGACGAUCAGAUACCGUCGUAGUUCUGACCAUAANCGAUGCCAGCUAGGGAUGGGCGGACGUUGCACUACGACUCCGCCCGGACCUUCCGGGAAACCAAAGCUUUUGGGUUCCGGGGGAAGUAUGGUUGCAAAGCUGAAACUUAAAGGAAUUGACGGAAGGGCACCACCAGGAGUGGAGCCUGCGGCUUAAUUUGACUCAACACGGGGAAACUCACCCGGCCCGGACACCGUAAGGAUUGACAGAUUGAAAGCUCUUUCUUGAUUCGGUGGGUGGUGGUGCAUGGCCGUUCUUAGUUGGUGGAGCGAUUUGUCUGGUUAAUUCCGAUAACGAACGAGACUCUAGCCUGCUAAAUAGUUCGUCGGUAACGUAUAGCCGGCGCAACUUCUUAGAGGGACAAGUGGCGUUCAGCCACGCGAGAUUGAGCAAUAACAGGUCUGUGAUGCCCUUAGAUGUUCGGGGCCGCACGCGCGCUACACUGAAGGAAUCAGCUGGUCUCUCCUGGCCUGAAAAGGUCGGGCAACCCGUUGAACCUCCUUCGUGCUAGGGAUUGGGGGUUGCAAUUCUUCCCCAUGAACGAGGAAUUCCCAGUAGGCGCGAGUCAUCAGCUCGCGUCGAUUACGUCCCUGCCCUUUGUACACACCGCCCGUCGCUACUACCGAUCGGAUGGUUUAGUGAGACCCUCGGACUGGUCCCGUCGAAGUGGGCAACCGCCUCCACGCCUUGCCGGGAAGAAGGUCGAACUUGACUAUCUAGAGGAAGUAAAAGUCGU
rnacentral:rRNA from 1 species